rnacentral:lncRNA from 1 species
AGACAGAUAGUUGUAAUUUUCCCCUGGAAUCUGUCCUCACUACAGGAGAGAUAAUCUUUGGGCCAGAACUCAGACAGUAUGCUCAGAUUACGAAAUCUUUACCUUUGAAUUAAUGCAAAGCUCAGAGGAACCUCAGUGAGGCUGGUGCGUUUCUUUUGUUUUGCAAACCCUAUAGCUGUGGGCGGCUACAAUGUCUUUAUACUGUCAUGAUUGGUUCUUAUGAUUUAGAAGCCUGUACUUUUCUAAUGAGUCAUGACAGAAACAGGAGUAGAUCCAGAGGGUAGUAGAGAUGUAGAGGAACUGGAAGGAGAGGAGGGAAGAGCAAUGGUAAUCAGGAUAUAUUGUAUGAGAAAAGUCUAUUUUCAAUAAAGGGGUGAAAUGGAAACAAGAAGUAUCCCUUAAGUCCACUCUUUCCAUUUAUCUAUUUCUCACACUAUCUGUUUGCUUUAGGUUUAUGCACUAAAGGCAACAGUGAGAUUUGUCUUUGUAUUAGAAGUGCAUUUUAUCUACAAGCUUUAUUUCAGAUUCACAGACGACUUUGCCAAAGUUAAUAGAGCUAUGAGUUUGUUUGUUCUUGGUUUUUUUUUUUUUAUAUUACAUAUAAAACAUUUAUUUUCUCAGUUAUGGACAUUGAGUUACUUGAUUUUGAGUAAUGCAGUCAUUUUUCGUGCAUUUAUUAUUUUCCUUUGAUGCCAAUCAGGUUUCCAUUUAUAUAUUAUCAGUAGUCUUUUAAGCAAAUGGCCAGGCUUAAGGAAACUAUUCGUUUUAUUAUUAUUAUACAUUACAAUCCGCAUAUGUAUAAAAAGAUGAAAAUGAAAGUGAUGGAAUGUUACCACUCUCU